rnacentral:tRNA from 1 species
UAGAAGGUGGUGUAGUGGAAGCACUAAGAGUUUUGAUCUCCUUAAGGUAGGGUUCGAAUCCCUUCUUUCUAA